rnacentral:rRNA from 1 species
AUCGAACGCCGGCGGCAUGCCUUACACAUGCAAGUCGAACGGUAACAGGUCUUCGGAUGCUGACGAGUGGCGAACGGGUGAGCAAUACAUCGGAACGUGCCUAGUAGUGGGGGAUAACUACUCGAAAGAGUGGCUAAUACCGCAUGAGAUCUACGGAUGAAAGUAGGGGAUCGCAAGACCUUGUGCUACUAGAGCGGCCGAUGGCAGAUUAGGUAGUUGGUGGGAUAAAAGCUUACCAAGCCGACGAUCUGUAGCUGGUCUGAGAGGACGAUCAGCCACACUGGGACUGAGACACGGCCCAGACUCCUACGGGAGGCAGCAGUGGGGAAUUUUUGACAAUGGGCGCAAGCCUGAUCCAGCAAUGCCGCGUGCAGGAUGAAGGCCUUCGGGUUGUAAACUGCUUUUGUACGGAACGAAAAGCCCUGGGUUAAUACCCUGGGGUCAUGACGGUACCGUAAGAAUAAGCACCGGCUAACUACGUGCCAGCCGCCGCGGUAA